rnacentral:rRNA from 1 species
CCUACGGGGAGCUGCAGUGAGGAAUAUUGGUCAAUGGACGAGAGUCUGAACCAGCCAAGUGGCGUGAAGGAUGACUGCCCUAUGGGUUGUAAACUUCUUUUAUAUGGGAAUAAAAUGUUCCACGUGUGGGAUUUUGUAUGUACCAUAGUAAUUAGGAUCGGCUAACCCCGUGCCAGCAGCCGCGGUAAUCCGGAGUAUCCGUGCGUGAUCCGGAUUGAUUGGGUUUAAAGGGCGCUUAUGUGGAUUGUUAGGACAGUUGUGAAAGUUUGCGGCGCAACCGUAAAAUUGCAGUUGAAACUGGCAGUCUUGAGUACAGUAGAGGUGGGCGGAAUUCGUGGUGUAGCGGUGUAAUGCUUAGAUAUCACGAAGAACUCCGAUUGCGAAGGCAGUUCACUGGACUGCAACUGACACUGAGGCUCGAAAGUGUGGGUAUCAAACAGGAUUAGAUACCCUUGUAGUC